AACGAGAAGGGCCAGCUGGGGCACGGCGAUAUAAAGAGAGUGGAUGCCCCAAAGCCUAUCGAGAGCCUUAAGGACGAGGUGUUUGUACAUGCUGCUUGUGGCCGCAACCAUACCCUGGCGCUGACGGAGAACGGCUCCGUUUAUGCCUUCGGAGAGAACAAGAUGGGCCAGCUUGGCCUGGGGAACAAGACUGAUGCUGUGUGCAGCCCAGCCCUGAUCCUGUAUAACGGGCAGCCAAUCACCAAGGUCGCCUGCGGGGCCGAGUUCAGUAUGAUCAUGGACUGUAAAGGAAACCUGUACUCGUUUGGCUGCCCCGAAUAUGGACAGCUGGGUAA